GGAAAUCACACUGCCAUCAGUGGUGUGGUCCACAUGGUCUUCCCGGGUCGGCCCUGUGUCCUCUUCUUGUCUUUGCCUUGUUGGAGGAGCCUGCGGUAUAAAGAUCCCAAGAACACUCACUCUACAGAUGAAGAAACAGGGAUGAGAUUCCACUUUGCCCAGAGACACACAGCCAGUAAUUAGAAGAGCUGCAGCUUGGACCCAGGUCUGACCCCAGGAAAAAGUCUCCCCUGGAGGGGUUGCUCAGAAACCAUCCUAAAACACAGCAAGUAAAACAAGUGAGACACAGAGAAGGGAAGAGAUUUACGCAAGGAUGACACAGGGGAGUAAAAGACAGAGCUGAGGUAUGAUACCCAACAACCUGAUUCUAGAGGCAGCUGUCUAGGGUCCUUCAUUUAAUGAACGUUGGUGGAUUGUUGUUACCUCGGGAUGGAGCAGUGAGCAAAGCAAAAGAGCCCCCUGCCCUGGAGGCGCCCCCAUCCUGGCCUCUAUACCCCACCACCUCUCUUCAGCAGCCAUAAGACAUCCAUUCCUCACUUGGUCCUGGGGCAGCAUUUUCUCUGGUUCCCACUCUAGAAGGCUCUGUGUCCAGUGACCCUCUUAUUCCUUCCAUUCUUCUCCUAGGAAGACAGACAUUCACUCUGCUCUGUGCACCAUGCUGGCCAAGUGGUCAGCUUUUGAGGAGCUAAGAGCCCAUCUCCUUCCAACUGCCUUCAAGUGCAGGGCACCCUUGCUCUCACCACGUCAGGGCCUAGGGAGAGGCCUGAUCCCCAGGGCCCACCACAUGUCUGGCUCAGGUGGGUACAGGGGCUAGUGCUCGACUUCCCAGAGCAUCCAUCCUUGCCUCUUUCCUCUUCUCACUCCCCUUCUCAGUGGACAGGAAACUGGCUGUAAUUCACCCAGUUUAUUCCAUGUUCCAUGUGACUUUACAGCUGCAUAUUUUGAGUUUCAAAACCCUAAAGCCUUCUCUGCUCACUGCAGAAAAUCCCUUCCUCCAGCUGGACGUGUGUGGCUGAUCCCAAGUGGCAGAAGGGUCAAGUAAGGAAUAACCAC